UACACAGAAAUCUCAAAUUUAUAUGUCGCCGUUUGAGUUGUUGUUUUGUACUAUUGAAACUAACAAAAAUGGUACAAAACAACAACUCAAACGGUGUGGAACUAACAAAAAGUGGAUAAUUUUAAGCGUAAUAUGUGCGACACACGCCCUUUGUUGCAAGUUGCAUUCAGAAAACCUUUUGUUGCAAGUUGUAACUGUAUUCAUCGACUGCAUGGUUCCUGCUUGAGGCUAACAAAUACAUUGUAAUAGACAGGCGGAUGAAGAACAUUCUCACAAAAAGCACAAACUGAAACCUAAAGAACGGAAGUGUGUCCUUUGUAGCAAUAUAGGGUAACAUCCAUUGUGUGUAUAAAGCGCUACCAAUCAGUGUAUCCAUGGCUCAGUCUAUUUACCCAUUUGUUUUAAACAGGUGAUCCAGAGUAGGACAGGGGUCGUUUGCAGACGAACUUUCAAAAAGCUUCACAGAGGCAUUAGGAAGUUUAUUUGGUUACAAUGGAAGCACUACAGGAGGUAUCGGCUAUGGAGAUGAUUGUUAGCAUCUAAGGUGUAAGGAAUGUUUUCAGUCCUUUCAGUAAUCACUGAAUUGUUUUCAGCAAUUUUCGCAAUUGCAAAACUGUUGGACGGUGAAUUAUGCAUGUUUUCAGGUAUGAGACAGGUUUGACACAAAAUGUGGACAGACAUGUUCACAAUAAACAAAACCUAUAGGUUAAUAAUAGUUUUAUUAUUCACAGCAGUAAUAUCUCUGUAGUCAGGUUAAAAGAAAAUAAAAUAACAAAAGUUAAUCACCCUAGGAUAUUAAAUUAAAAAAUUGAUAUGGUUCCAUAGGAACUUUAUUUUUAAAGUGUGAGGAGCUCCUUGAAUAGUAUAGAAGAUGUGGAUUUCUUCAUUUACAUUUCUAGAUGGCCAGAUUUGUGUAACCACAGUUUUCUGGGUAACACAGAGUGUGUUAAUUAUUAAAUAAAUUGGAUACAUUCUAAGAGAAUUCCAUAUUUAAAUACUAAGACACUGUUUCCUUUUUGUUGACUUUAUCUCAUGUGGAAAAUAUAUCUGUAGAUUGUAGUGAUAACUUGUGCACUUCAUGUCUAUUUCCUGAAAAAUGUUUGUGAAGAGAUUGCUGAAACCUUUCUGAAUACAAUGCAGGGAACUUGCCGAACUCUGUUUCUCAGGAAAACCUAAAGAUACCAAGGCUUCUCUAGAAAUUUUUAUUAAUCUGCAACAAGAAGUAUCUCAGUUUGUUGUCAAUAUGGAUACAUGGAAUAAACCCAGAGCUCCCCAUGGAGGUGGGACUUCAGAUAUCAAAGGAAAUAAUAUAAUUGAGUACUCAGAGUGGAUCCACAACAGUGUUCCACUGGGAUGCGUCACCCCCUUUUUUUCCCGUCGUCUCGUCGGAGACGGGGAGACAUCUCCGCGUCUCUUAGAGAGACAUGGAGAUGCCUCCACGUCUCCUUGGGAGACAUUUGGGCAUCUCCCUGUCCUUCGAGAGAUGUGCAGACAUCUCUCAAGGGACGGGGAGAUGCCCAGACGUCUCUUGUCGCUCCCAUGCAUAUGCAAUGUUUAAAAUUAAAAUUAAAAAAAAAAGUGACUUUUUAAGUUUUUUGGGGGUUAAGGGGUAACUCUAAUUGGACGUGGGCCAAUAGAAAAAUAACACCCGACGCCUUUAGAAAAUAAUAAAAGUAUUUUUGGACCCCACAAGGGGUGCUGCCCCUUGACCCCAAUUUGGGGCGCUGCCUCCAAACCCCCGUUGAAAAAUAUAGGGGGAAACCGCGCUGAUAGAAGUAGGGAAAAUCGAACCUCCGAGUCUGAUUAGGCUCCAUAUAACAACAUGACUUAAAAAUCUUGGUAUUUAGAUUUAGUAUUUCAAAUUUCCUAGAGUCUCAUUUGAAAUGUAAUUCUUAUACUGUAAUACUGUCAUACAUCUUUUCAAAACUAGUUUUUCAAGUAAUAUAUGUAUAUAUAUAAUUAUAUCAGCACCACCACCCUGCCACCCCCCACGGCCGUCCCCCGCUAUCCCCAAACUUAGACCCUUGGUCCCCCAUCCCCAAAACACGUCCCCGCAUCCCCCUGUCCCCAACGCCCGUGGAACACUGAUCCACAACUACAUUAACUGAAAUAUUUUUAUUAAAUGAUCUAAAAAAAGUCAUCUAUUAAAUCUAAUUUAAAACAUGAUUUAGCUGCUGAAGAAUCACCAUGAAGGAGACUUAAAAUCAUUCUCAAGAAACUAUCUCAAGAUUAAAAAAAAUCAAAAUGAUGCCUCUUUUCUAGGGGCUCAGUCUCUUAUUCUGGUACAAGGAAAUUAGGCAAGUCCAUGAACUUCACUCCUAGUGGGAUGACCUGUAUGGUGACAUCAAUAGGAGGUCAAGGUAACAAUGGCAACCAAAUAAUCAAAAGGUGUACUAAUGUGAAUUUGCAUUUGAACAUAUUGUGGUCAACAAAGUUGUCGAAUCAAAACCUCAACAACAAACAUCCAAUAACAUCAAUAUUGCAGCUUACCAAUGCACCUGAAUUGAGGAGAAUAGAAAUGAUAAACAUACAAUUUUAUGAUAUAAAUAUAAUAGAUAUUGAGAUACAUUUUCUUAAACCAUAUGUCAGCAACAUUAUCAAAUCCUUGUCUGAAAAUAAAUGGCAUUAGUAAUUGCAUCAAUUUCAUGUUUGCGAUAUGCCGCUUUUGAAGCCCAUGUUUACUAUUCUAGCUGAUGAUAAAUCACAUUCUUAUCUUCUAUUGAUUGGAGAGACUCAGCAUUAAAGAUAUAUUGACAACAGUUACUGGAACUAUUGUACUAUUUCAUCAUACUGUUCUCGGGAGUUUGGAGAGGACAUUUAUGCUGCUGCAUGCAUAGUAGAAAGGUUUCGGACAGAAGGGUAUGCAUAUGUAGCUCCGUUUGAUGAUGGUCCUUUGAGUGUAGAAUUGAUAUCAAAAGAUAUUGUAAGGCCUUUCCUUUUCUUCAUGUUUCGGCCCCUAAAACUGUGUCAUCCGGUACAAGGAAGAGAUGAUGAUUAGUGAAUGGUCAAAUGCUUCAGAAUACUUUUACAAAGUAUGUUUAAGCUAUCCUAGUAAGCUCUUAUCUUAUAUAUGUAAAGUUGCUAUAAAUGCACCUCUUCGUCUUAACUACUCACUUACAUGUUUGCAGAAAAAAUAUCUAACUUUAUUAGUGUGUACAUAGCAUUCAAGUUUUUUUGGCAUUAUGGUGAUGGUUUAUUGCUUUUUAUCUAACUUGGUGUUAUGCAAAUUCAACCUAGGUUUUCACUGUCUUCUCUCUAGAUUAAAAGUUUGAAAUACUUGGAUGAUUAUGUUUGACAUCUAGGAUGGUUUAUUGCUUUUUAUCUAACUUGGUGUUAUGCAAAUUCAACCUAGGUUUUCACUGUCUUCUCUCUAGAUGAAAAGUUUGAAAUACUUGGAUGAUUAUGUUUCACAUCUAGGAUGUGAAUACCUUAGAAAUAGGAAAAUAAAUUGUGAAGUCGUGGAAAGAACACUCACAUUUAAACACUAGAAGAGUACAUGUAUCCUAUCAGGCAUUCUUUUAAAAUUUUGAUUGAUUUGAUUGUCUAAUGAUUCAAUAUUUUGUUUCUCUUUAUGCUUCUUUGACUGAUCAUAUUGUUCAAACUUGCUUAGACCUUUGAGUACUGCUAAAUCGUUACAUUUUAACCCGCAACUUUCACUAUGAAGUGCUAAUGCAUUCUUGUUUUGACUUAUUGCAAGGCUGUUGGUACAGUACAAUGGGAUUAACUACGAACAUUUUAAACAAGCAAAACAACUCAAUAUGGUAACCCUCUGAACAAGACCUGGGCUGUCAAACUAUGAAGUUGAAAGGGCAAUCAUAGUGGUCAAAUACAAAACCUAACUAGAAUAAACUAGAUAAUAAUAAAGGCCUAUUAUCUCGAAUCUCGGCACAUUUGCAUCCUAAUUUUAUCCCCUCUUUACAUUAAAUUCCAUUGGUUAUAUAAGUAAAUCAAGCCAUUCAUUGUUAAGAAUUAUUAGUUCUUGCUGGAACUUCAUUAACACUGAUGAUAUUAAGAUAUAGUUUUUAUUUCUUUAUCUAUUAAGGUAGUUUAAAAGAGUGAUGGUAGUUCUGAUAUUUUUAUGUAAACAUUUUUUCUCAAGCUAUACAGUUGCCGUAAAAUUAGGUCUAUUAUAUUAUCUUGAAACUCUUCUCUGCCUCUUCCAAUUCUAGACUAUGGAAUAUAGAUUCAGGUGUCUUGUAUUAUGCCAUACAUUCAUUAAUUCAAAAUUGACCCUUUUUUGAGAAAAAGUCAUUACAUAUUUCAAUAAUUGGUUUUCUCUUGAUGUUCAAAUUGAAAAAUCUAGAAAAUACUGAUCUUCUGAAAUUGCGUUUAUUCAUAUUUUUACUACUUUUUCUACAGAGCUCAAUAACCACAUAAAUCACAGUUGAGUUCACUACCGAGAAAUUUUCUGUCAGUUAGUUGUAAAUAUCUUGAUGUAAGUGCAUCGAUUCUUCAGAAUGUUUUCAGCCUUAAAAUGGGCCACACAUGAUGUGAACUGAUAUUGUGAUUCAGAGUUAUUGCUCUAAGUGAACUGGAUUUAGUAACAGGAAAUAAAAACUCAUAUAACACCAAUCAAUUUUUAGCCUUAAAUAAGGGUAAACCCUUUCUUCACAGUUGUAUAUUUUUUUUCCUCAUAGAAUAACAUGAUGGUUGAUAUUUUUAUUCAGUUACCUCGUCAUCAAAUUGUAUUGGAUCGCAAUGUAAUAAAAGUAGACAUGUUUGAUCUCGAAAUUGACCUAUGUUAAUAUGAUACCAACUUCAAUCCAUUAGCUUGAGAAUUAAAAUUUUCACUUACGAAUGUUGCAAGUGCUAUUUGCUGUUGGAUAGACGGAAGUGUGUCCUUUGUAGCAAUAUAGGGUAACAUCCAUUGUGUGUAUAAAGUGCUACCAAUCAGUGUGUCCACGGCUCAGUCUAUUUACCCAUUUGUUUCAAACAUGUGAUCCAGAGUAGGAGAGGGGUGGUUUGCAGACGAACUUUCAAGUGAACAAUCUCUUUUAAUUUUUAUCUUAUUAUUUUCAAUUUGUAUGUUUUAACUUGAAAAUAUGGUAAAAAUACUGGAGAUUAUACCCUAGGGCUGCUUUUAUUUGUUCAGAAUUCUAAUGGAGUGAACAGUGCAGAAAGCUUCACAGAGGCAUUAAGAAGCUUAUUUGGUUGCAAUGGAAGCACUACCAAGAGUUAUCUGCUGUGGAGAUGAUUGUGAUCAUCUAAGAUGUGUAUCAACUAAAAUAUGUACCUGACUUUGAAUUUUUUAUAUUGCUUUCUUUAUGACUCUUUUAUGGGCCUUAAGUCAUACCCCAUUGCAGUCGAAACCUAUACAAUUACCAAGGAAAUAUUGCUAGCCUAAGGUUUUGUUACUGAAAGGCAACCAGUAUUAGAGGUAAUAUAUUGCCUAAAUGAUUGAUACCAUUCCCGUUCCUCUUGUUCGUAGCCCUGAUUUAUUUUUUGCCUAUGGUCGUCGGCCCAAUUUUUCAGAUUUUCAUAAUUUGUCUAAAGGAGGCGGAUGGAAUCAAUGCAUUCAGUUAGCUAUACUUAAGGGUAGAGCAUUUACGGCUGGACGGAUUUCUUUGUAGUUCCGCCGAAUAAAACAAAGAACAUAAAUAGCCGAAUAAAGAGAGUUUAAUUUUUUUUGGUUUAUAGGUGUAAGGAAUGUUUUCAGCCAUUUAAGUAAUCACUAAAUUGCUUUUCAGCAAUUCUGGCAAUUGCAAAACUGUUGGACGGUGAAUUAUGCAUGUUUUCAGGCGUGAGGCAGGUUUGACACUAAAGAGUAAGUAACAGGAAAAAAAACAUUUUCACUCUUUUCUUGACAUUUUAAUAAUAAAACUUAUGAUUUCUGGUUUUUUUUUCCCUGAUUAAGGUUACGUUCUUUUUAGUUUUGUUGAUGCGAUAUCGGUGAUACCGAUCCGCAAAAAAUAAUCAAUGAUGCGGUGAAAUCACUGAUGCUGGUGAAGCUGACCCACAAAAUAUCAUCAGUGAUGCCGCUGAAACUGAUCUGCCAAAUAUUGCCAAUGUUGUCGGUGAAACUGCAUUGUUCAAAGCUGUUGAGUUAGGUCAUGAGAAAAUCGUUGCAGAACUUUUGCCUUUUAACACUUCCACAACACUACUGGAGGACAGAUGGCCAAACGCUUGUGCACUGUGCGGUGCAAAGAAGUGCUCAAGAAGCUCAUCGCUGCUAAGAUGGACCUUCUUAAACAAGCUGAUUAUUUACGCAGAACACCCCUAGAUUAUGAUGCCUGUCUUAAAGGAAUAUCACAUAUUGCAAAAAUUCUUUUAGAGAAAGAUACGUCUUACUGUUAUACAGUGGACAGCAAUCACCAAUCAGCGCUUCAUAUAGUGGUCAAAGAAGGCAACAUCGAUUUAGUGAGAGAGAUUAAAAUAUGCCAAAGACUGCAUAGUAAUUGGAGACAACGAGGAAAGAUAUGGUUUUCACGUGGUGAUUGAAAAUGCAGUACAAUUUUUUGACAAAAUCGGGAGACGCAUAAAAACCUUGAUGUUCUUGGUGAUAUCAAAGAGGCUGAUCAAUGAAGCUGACAACCGAGGCAAGAUGCCAUUGGACAUAGCGCUGGACAUCAUGGACACAGACGAACGCCUUUUCGAAGGAGAAGGUUUUUGGCUCAUGGGAUUUGGCACAGGGCUUUGGAAAAUUUUGUCUUCUUCCAUUGAUAGCAGCUGUGGAGUCUACAUUUGAAAAUUAUCCGAUGGGUUUUUUUGACAAAUUGUCAUAUUGGGUCUAUGUAAAACUGAUAUUAUAUGUGUUGUGACCGCACUUUGUAUGUGGUUUUGGGCAGGGUGUAUAAACUGAUCAAUUAGAUACUAUAGGUUUAUUUUAUGAGUUGCGAUUGGAGGUUUUCUUCUAGGGUUCUUUCCUCUGGUAUGCUCUUUGAAUCUCGUGUAAAAAAUAAAAAAUAUUAAUAAAAAGGUUU